GACGAACCGUGCGAACGUUAUUCGGAAUCACUGGGCUUAAAGCGCGUGUAGGCGGGCCGGCGCGUCGGCCGCUGAAAUCCCCCGGCUCAACCGGGGAAGCGGCGCCGAUACGGCCGGCCUGGAGGGACGUAGGGGGGGCUGGAACUUCCGGUGGAGCGGUGAAAUGCGUUGAGAUCGGAAGGAACGCCCGUGGCGAAAGCGAGCCCCUGGACGUCUACUGACGCUGAGGCGCGAAAGCCAGGGGAGCAAACGGG
rnacentral:rRNA from 1 species